GGAGCAGUUCGCGAGGACAGCAAUCCAUAAACCGUGGCUCAGUUCAGAUCGUAGGCUGCAACUCGCCUACGUGAAGGAGGAAUCGCUAGUAAUCGCAGGUCAGCAUACUGCGGUGAAUACGUUCCCGGGCCUUGUACACACCGCCCGUCACACCAUGGAAGUUGGCCACGCCCGAAGCCGUUACUCCAACCCUUGUGGAGGAGGACGUCGAAGGUGGGGCUGAUGACUGGGGUGAAGUCGUAACAAGGUAUCCGUACCGGAAGGUGCGGAUGGAUCACCUCCUAA
rnacentral:rRNA from 1 species